UACAGAGGUGGCAAGCGUUGUUCGGAAUUACUGGGCGUAAAGGGCGCGUAGGUGGCCUUCUAAGUCGAACGUGAAAUCCCUGGGCUCAACCCAGGAACUGCGUCCGAGACUGGGAGGCUUGAAUCCGGGAGAGGGAUGCGGAAUUCCAGGUGUAGCGGUGAAAUGCGUAGAUAUCUGGAGGAACACCGGUGGCGAAGGCGGCAUCCUGGACCGGUAUUGACACUGAGGCGCGAAAGCCAGGGGAGCAAACGGG
rnacentral:rRNA from 1 species